rnacentral:tRNA from 2 species
GGAGAAAUGGCAGAGUGGUCGAAUGCACCGGUCUUGAAAACCGGCGAGGGUCACACCUCCGGGGGUUCGAAUCCCUCUUUCUCCGC